rnacentral:rRNA from 1 species
AUGUCGCCGCCCGAGAACCCCAACGGCGGGGCCGCCGCCGCCGCGCCCUCGGAGCCCGCGCCGCCCGCCAAGCCUUCGUCUUCCAAGGGGAAGAAGAAGGACGACAAGAAGGACGACGAUCUGUCUGAGGAGGACCUGGCGCUCAAGGAGCAGCUCGAGCUCUACGUGGUGCGCGCGCAGGACGUGGAUCCCGGCGUGCAGAGGCUCGCCCUCGAGAGCAUGAGGCAGGAGAUUCGUUCAGCUACAAGCUCCAUGACGUCUGUCCCGAAGCCACUGAAAUUCCUCCGCCCACACUAUGGAACCCUUAAGUCCUACUAUGAAACUAUGCCAGAAUCUGAGCUAAAGAAGUACAUGGCCGACAUACUGUCGGUGUUGGCCUUGACAAUGUCUGCUGAAGGAGAAAGGGAGAGCCUGAGGUACCGUUUGUUGGGCUCUGAAGGCGACAUUGGUUCAUGGGGUCAUGAAUAUGUGAGGAAUCUGGCUGGUGAAAUUGCUCAAGAAUUCGAAAAGCGCCAGGGUGAUGACAUGCCAAUUGAUGAGUUAAUGGAACUAGUGCAGCAAAUUGUCUCAUUCCACAUGAAGCAUAAUGCUGAGCCAGAAGCUGUAGAUCUUCUGAUGGAGGUUGAAGACCUUGAUUUGCUAGUUGAGCAUGUCGACUCAACAAACUACAAGAGAACUUGUUUGUACCUUACUAGUUCGUCUAGAUUCCUCCCUUCUCCAGAUGAUACGCUGGCACUUGAUAUAGCAUAUACCAUUUACAUGAAGUUUGAAGAUCUUGCAAGUGCAUUGCGCAUUGCUUUGCUUCUUGACAACAAGUCCAUACAGUAUGUGAAGCAGGUCUACACAGCAACUGAUGAUCUUGUACUCAAGAAGCAAUUCUCAUACAUCAUUGCACGCCAUGGUUUGGCCAUGGAGAUUGAUGAUGAGAUAGCUGCAGAUGAAAAUGACAAGGAAAUGUUGCAAGAAAUAGUUAAUAACACCAAGCUGAGCGAGGGGUACCUCACUCUUGCUCGUGAUAUCGAAGUUAUGGAGGCAAAAUCUCCAGAAGAUAUUUAUAAGGUCCAUUUGAUUGACGGACGUGGUGCCAGCUCCAGUCUUGAUUCUGCAAGACAGAAUUUGGCUGCAACAUUUGUCAAUGCAUUUGUUAAUGCUGGAUUUGGCCAGGAUAAGCUGAUGACUGCUCCAUCUGAUUCUUCCAGCAGUGGGUCUUCUGGAAACUGGUUAUUUAAGAAUAAGGAACAUGGAAAAGCCAGUGCAGCAGCUAGCCUGGGAAUGAUUCUCCUGUGGGAUACUGAUUCUGGGCUUGCCCAGCUCGACAAGUACUUGCAUAGUACUGAUACUCAUGUUGUUGCUGGAGCUUUGCUAGGUAUUGGAGUUGUCACCUGCGGUGUGAAGAAUGAUUGUGACCCUGCACUUGCCAUCCUCAUGGAGUAUGUUAACAAGGAUGACUCAAACAUACGGAUUGGUGCAAUCUUGGGUCUUGGUAUUGCAUAUGCUGGUUCUCAAAAGGAUGAGCUAAGAGUGCAACUCUCGGCUAUAUUGGGAGACCCCCAAGCAACACUCGAGGUCUUGGUCUUCACUGCUGUUGCUUUGGGAUUGGUGUUUGUUGGUUCAUGCAACGAAGAGAUUGCACAAUCCAUCAUAUUUUUCUUGAUGGAGCGUAGUGAGGCCGAGCUGGCAGAGCCAAUUAUACGCCUUCUUCCUGUUGCGCUUGGCCUUCUAUAUCUUGGAAAGCAGGAAAGCGUUGAGGCUACUGCGGAGGUUUCUAAAACAUUUGAUGAGAAGAUCAGGAAAUAUUGUGACGUAACACUUAUGUCCCUUGCAUAUGCUGGAACAGGAAAUGUGCUCAAGGUUCAGAAACUUCUUGGUAUUUGCUCACAACAUCUUGAGAAAGGCGAAACACACCAAGGCCCAGCUGUCCUUGGAAUUGCUCUUAUUGCCAUGUCUGAAGAAUUAGGAGCUGAAAUGGCUGUACGAUCACUUGAACGUCUUCUACAGUAUGGCGAGCAGAAUAUUAGACGAGCAGUUCCUCUUGCACUUGGUAUCCUCUGUAUUUCGAACCCCAAGGUAAAUGUAAUGGACACACUGAGCAGAUUGAGUCAUGAUGCAGAUGCUGAUGUGUCAAUGGCUGCGAUAAUCUCAUUGGGUUUGAUUGGUGCUGGUACAAACAAUGCCAGAAUAGCUGGUAUGCUUCGUAAUCUAUCGAGUUAUUACUACAAAGAGGCUGCUCAUCUAUUCUGUGUAAGAAUUGCUCAAGGGCUUGUUCACCUUGGGAAAGGUUUGCUGACACUUUCUCCAUACCAUUCCGACCGGUUUCUUCUUUCCCCGAUGGCACUCGGAGGGAUUGUCACUGUUCUGCAUGCCUGCCUUGAUAUGAAGUCCACCAUUCUAGGGAAAUAUCACUACAUUCUUUACAUUAUUGUAUUGGCAAUGCAGCCAAGGAUGCUUUUAACGGUGGAUGAGGAUCUGAAGCCUCUUCCUGUUCCAGUGCGGGUUGGGCAAGCAGUUGAUGUGGUCGGGCAGGCAGGAAGACCUAAGACGAUAACCGGCUUUCAGACGCAUACCACUCCUGUCUUGCUUGCAGCCGGGGAGCGAGCGGAAUUGGCGACUGACAAGUACAUCCCCCUGACGUCGACGUUGGAGGGCUUUGUAAUUCUGAAGAAGAACCCUGAAUACCACGAGGAGUGA